rnacentral:rRNA from 1 species
AGUGAACGCUGGCGGUAGGCCUAACACAUGCAAGUCGAACGGCAGCACAGUAAGAGCUUGCUCUUACGGGUGGCGAGUGGCGGACGGGUGAGGAAUACAUCGGAAUCUACUUUUUCGUGGGGGAUAACGUAGGGAAACUUACGCUAAUACCGCAUACGACCUACGGGUGAAAGCAGGGGAUCUUCGGACCUUGCGCGAUUGAAUGAGCCGAUGUCGGAUUAGCUAGUUGGCGGGGUAAAGGCCCACCAAGGCGACGAUCCGUAGCUGGUCUGAGAGGAUGAUCGGACACACUGGAAAUGAGAAAGGGUCCAGACUCCUACGGGAGGCAGCAGUGGGGAAUAUUGGACAAGGGGCGCAAGCCUGAUCCAGCAAAGCCGGGGGGGUGAGGAAGGCCUUGGGUUUGUAAACCCUUUUGGUGGGGAAAGAAAAGAGGCGGAUUAACCCCCCGCUUUUCUGACGGUACCCAAAAAGAAAGCACCGGCUAACUCCGUG